UACAGAGGUCUCAAGCGUUGUUCGGAUUCAUUGGGCGUAAAGGGUGUGUAGGUGGCGCGCUAAGUCGGGUGUGAAAUUUCGGAGCUUAACUCCGAAACUGCAUUCGAUACUGGCGUGCUUGAGGGCUGGAGAGGAGACUGGAAUUCAUGGUGUAGCAGUGAAAUGCGUAGAGAUCAUGAGGAAGACCAGUGGCGAAGGCGGGUCUCUGGACAGUUCCUGACACUGAGGCACGAAGGUCAGGGGAGCAAACGGG
rnacentral:rRNA from 1 species